rnacentral:rRNA from 1 species
UACGUAGGGACCGAGCGUUGUCCGGAUUCAUUGGGCGUAAAGAGCUCGUAGGCGGCUGCUCAAGUCGAAUGUGAAAACUCGAGGCUCAACCUCGAGCCUGCAUUCGAUACUGGGCGGCUAGAGUCUGGUAGGGGGAUCUGGAAUUCCUGGUGUAGCGGUGGAAUGCGCAGAUAUCAGGAAGAACACCCGUGGCGAAGGCGGCUCUCUGGGACGGUACUGACGCUGAGACGCGAAAGCGUGGGGAGCGAGCAGG